rnacentral:lncRNA from 1 species
AACAGAAGAGAACCCUUUUAAAAUUAGUGGAAUAAUUGUGCUGCUCAUGCUACUCUGUGAAAAGGCUGUUGAAAAAAAUACCAUGACCCAAUCUCAAACAUUCAAUGGUUUAGAAGUGAGACCUUCAAAAUCUGAUUGAAGGGAUCACAUUGAGAAUUGUUUUUAUCUUGCCUUUUACGCCUUCUGAUGUGUCCUAUCUCCUCAGCACAGCGCUUUACUCUUGGAGAAUAUUAAGCAUGGAUUUCUGGUUAAUUAGUUAACACUAUGGAUAGCUUUGUUUUUAUAUUUCCAACACAUUGUUUCUGGCAUUGAAGGGUAUCAUAAAUAAACUUCAAUUUUACAGCAAAUAAUCUGAGUAUUGAGAUAACCUGAAAAGUGCUUCAGUAAUUGCCUCUAUGCAUACAAAGCUUGUCACUACCAGGGAGGAAGAAGAAAUUUCAGGGCAUUUCAAGGUGCCCAAAUUGGAGGAAAGGGUUCUGAUUGCCCUGGCUCAUAAAGCAUAAUUUGUAGAAUCUGCUUGAUCCAAAAAUUUUAAGUGCCUUUUAUAUCUGUAAGCUUUCUUUUUUUCUGAGGGAUCUACCACUCCCUGUUGGUAAGGUAUUCAUAGAGACAGCACAUAUAGUAAUUAAAAUAAAAAUAGUACUCUAUACUUGCAUAGCAGAUUAUAAUUUACAAAGUAAUUUUGCACACUCGUUAUCUCACAUGACCCCCUCCACAACCACUGAAAAAAGUGUUUUUGGCAGAGAAUGUUAUGAGCUCGUAACACCUUAUUUUCUUUUCUUCCUGGGCAAAGAAAUUAUUUUCUAGGCUUCCUUGGAGUUAGGUAUACCCAUGUUCUGGUCAAGGAAUGGGCAGAAGUGAUAUAUGCCAUUUUAAAGUCAGGCCCAUUAAAAACUCCUGCCCAUUUCUCAUACUUUGAUUUUCCCCCUUUAACCAGUUGGUUGCAAAGGAUCCAGAAGAGGAUUUCAGUAACUUAGGGCAGGGGUCAUAAAACCAUGGCCAGUGGGUCAAAUCUAACCUACCAUCUGUUUUUCCAUAUGGUUUUAUUGAAACUGAACCACAUGGAUUUGUUUACAUAUUGUAAAUGGUUGCUUUUGUACUGCAAUGGUAGAGUUGAGUGCUUGCAACAUAUGGCAUGUAAAGCCUAAAAUAUUUCCUCUCUGGCCCUUUACAGACAAUAAAGGGGAUGACAGAUCCAUAAGAUAGAAGGAGCCUGGGUCCCUGAAUCACUGUGUGGAAGGCUGCAGGCUAAAUAUCUAUACUGAACAGUUAUGUGAGCAAGAAAUAACCUUCUGUUGUGUUAAGCCACUUAAGGUUUUAAUAUGUUUGUUUUUUCAAUCAUUAUCCUAUCUUUAUUACCAUAAUUUUUCUUAUAUUCAAUUUAUUGAUGAAAUAAUGAGGUUCAGAGAAGUAAAGUUACUUAUUUACACUCACAGAGUUAGAGACUACUAGCGAUAGUCAAUCUAGAAGUUGAACCAACUUAGGUAUUUUAAUUCCAAUGCCAGUGUACUUUUCAACACAUCUCAGAUGUCACUACUAAACAUAUUAUAGCAAAAACAUAUAAUACUACAAACUAAACUAAAUAUCUAAAGGCCUAAAAUGUAAUAAGUCUGUCAUGGUCAAGAGCAGUUAAUGUGCCUCACAAAUCAUCUAAUAGGGUAUAGAAAACCAUACUGAAAGAAAGAGUGUUGCAACAUCCUCAUUUUGUAGACUGGUAAAAUUGGGGCUUAGUGAAGUAAGUUGAUUUCCAAAAAUAGUGAUACAAAUUGUGAUAAUCAAGUGAUAUAAGGUUUUGUGAAGAAUUAAAAUGUCUUCGGAUCAUCUUCAGUGUCUUUCUUUCAAGCCAUAUCAACAGAAGACAAACAAGUCAUAUCAACAAAGAAAUCAACAAAGAGAGCUUCCUUAGUGUAAGAACAAAGCUGUCAAGAAAAUCACUAGGUCUUCAACAUUGAAUGUUUAGAUUUCACUAUCUUUGAAGAGGGAAUUUUGGGGUUUUGAGUUUAGUGAGCAUCUUGGUUGUUUAUAGACAUGUUGAGGUACUGUUAAAUGGUGGGUACUUUCUAUUGGGUAGAUUACCAAUAAAAGUCUAAUCUCAAUUGUUCUUCAGCUCUGUUCAUUUGGGGCCUGCAACUCUCCUCCUGCUUGGACGAACUCAGAAUUGACACUGUGAGGAGAUUUUUUUAGGUGACGAGUAUUUGAGGCAAGGAGUAUGUAGGAGCAUUAGAGGCACGGAUUGCCAGGAUGCUGUGUAGAACUGGAAAUAAAAAUCAGAGACCAAAUAAUGCAGCAACUCCCAGGGCACCAGAGGAGAUAGGACAGGCUAAUCACACACAAAACAAUUUACAUUACUGGUCUUUUCUUAUUGUAAACCAUGUUAGCAUAAUCUGAAUAAAUCCUGGGGCUUUGCAUAGCCCAGUCUCACUGCAGGGUCCUAGUUAAAUGACUAGAGUCUAGCAUUCUGAAAUAAAAAUAAUUAUAAUUUUGAUUUUUUUUAGUAAUGUCAAAAGAGUUCCACGUCAUCAUCCCUGACAGUAUUUCUUAAAUUCUUUCCCCACACUCCUCUCGAAUUCACCUCGUUUGCCACAGCAUCUAUCCACACACCAAUUUUUGUUUUCUUCCCUGUCUUAUAGAUUUUCAUGAAAUGCUUCUCUACAUCCAUUUCUGUGGGCCCUAUUUUUAUGUCCCUAUCCCCUUUUUCUCUGACAACUCUGUAAGAUAUUUCCUCAGUGCGUAGAUGGGGGAUGGGUUGAGUAAAGGAAAGCGGUUACCUAUAUUCAUCCAUUACUGACGAUUGCGCCUAUUAUAUUAGAAAGGCAAGAAUGGAGAGAAAAUAUUUUGGGACGAAGUGUAAGAAAAUUAUAAAAUCCUUGUUUAAAACCAACUAGCCUUUGUGUAUUAAACAGAAGUCAUUGGUUUUAUUGGAUUGAGAAUCAAUAAGCCUUGAUCAUCUUUACGUUCAGGUACAUGGCCUUUGCAAGGUCCAUUGAAAGUUCCAUGAGGGUUGCUUGACAGCAAUUGUUAAAUGCCCAAUGCUUUUCAUUUUUGUAGAAUAAUAAGGUGCUGUGACUCAUUAUUAGAUACAUUCUAAAAUAUCUACCCACCUAUCUCCUAUUCGUGACCACCCUAUCAACCUCCAGUAUUCACUCUGCCAUGGAGACUUAUUCUAGCCAAACGAACCAACUGAGAAAGAACAUUUAUUCAAGCCAGACAUGACAAAGUGGCUCUGAACAAAUGGUGUUGGAACUGCCUUGCUGGUGCCUACUGUCACAAAAUACUUGUGGGAUAAAUGAGAACAAUACAUCCCCAAGUGAAGUUUAGGAACCUUGGCCUUGACAGGCGUCUGAGCAGACAAUUUUUUCUUGGUCUGAAAUCCCCUAGAUGGCACUAGAGAAUACUGUAUAGUGUUUUCGUUCACAGUUGGCUGUUCCAUGUUUGCAUAGAUCUGCAGUCAGUACUGUACUGUACUGCUGAAGACGGAGGAAAAACAUCACCAUCUGCAUCUACAGCUUGCAAAUUACAGCUUGCAAUCACCUGCUAUUAAAUAAAGACACUUUAACAAUAUUUUGGGUUUUAAAUUAGCAAUUUACAUCACAAGACUCCGAAAAUACUAGUCUUUUAAUACUGCAAUUUUCUUUCCUUUUAACCAGGCAUCAACAUGUAUUGAAGUUUUUUAAAAAGCAAUGCAAAGUAAUGUUUAUUUAAACAAUAGCCACCAAUGGUAUGAGAUACACAGAUGGAAAUCCAAUAGUUCCUUACUCAGCGGGCAGCUUCGUUGGAGGACCCUGAUGGGGCCAGAACUCUCUAAUUUACAUCUUGGGGGGAAUCUAAGCAUUGCCUUAUUUUUAACUGCUUGGCCACACCAGGCUCUGUGUCUUGUAAGAAAGUGGUCUCAAGCUGAGAAUUAGAGGCAAAGUCUUUGUUUGAAGGAGACUUGAAGCAAAAGGGCUGAAAGGGAGAGAGUUCAAGUGGGAGUAUUUCCCUUUGUCAUUUGACAUCAGGGCUGAAUUGGAAGGGACUGGCAUUCAAACAAAGCACACUGGAUGCAAAACGAGAUGGGAUUUGGAUGCAUACAAAGAGAGCAAGAUUAAGCAGCUUUGUGCCUCACGGACACUACUUCUACAGACAGAGGGUUAUAUCUAUAUCUAAAUAUAGUGGUUUGCCUUCAAGUUCUUAUUAUCGGAACUUUCUUCCCCUUUUCUCUUGACAUCUGAGUUAGGGAAUGGGAAAACACCAGGAGCUGGCACAUGCUUCAAAGAGAUAAGUAUAAACUUUGCAGUGUGAAUCGCUGGGUUGUAAAUUCCUUUACACAAACAAAAAGCAUUCCAGAGUACUGUAACUAUUAGCAAGCAGCCUGCUGUUCUGUGUGUUCUCGGCUCUUCCAUGCAUUCAGCUGCUCUUGACAAACAGCUGCUUCUCAGAGCUUUCCCAGAUUCGGGGCUGCUUUCAGUACUCAUUUUUCUUUAAGCCUAAAAAAGAGCUACUACUCUUGUCUUUGUUGUUCAUGCCUUGCCGUUUUUGCUUUUUAUAACCCAAGACACUGGUCUAAAUCUUAAAUUCUUUCCUUUUCACGGUGUACUGAACUUUGAUUCCUACACAUGGUAUGUGCUCAAUAAAUGUUAGAUAUUCUUAUCAUUUUUAUUAGUCGUAAAGGUUUAAAGCUAUGUCAUAGGGAAUUCAAGUUUGAGAGGGAAGGUGUCUGAAAAUACUGUGCAGUUUACGUUUCAGCUCAUUCCACGAGCAUGCAGGGGGGAUUGGUCUAGGGGUGUAGGCAGCGUUAGAUCCUUCUCAGCUUCCGUUAAUUAUGCUGUUUCGCUUCACGGGUUCAGUCAUGACUCAGACCAAACACAGCUUGGGUAUAGCCAGUUGUGGCUGUUAGUGAUUUACUGGGAAAAGCAGCAAACUGAAUGACUCUCAGACUUUUCCAGUCCUCUUAGGUUUAUCGGUCACCUCUGAUGCUGUUUAUCACUGUGUCUUGUUAUCUCUGUUAAGGUCUAAUGUUAGUCCCUGUGUUUAAGGAUUAAAUUGGUUUCAAUCUAAUCUCCUAAAUAGAAUUCAGAUGAUUUGGGGCCCAGCCUGUUUCCUGGCCAAAGGGCUUUCCUCAGGUCCUUUUAUUCACUGCUAUUUAUAGUACCAUUUGCUACUUGAAUCAGGAGAUAAUGGAUAGAUUUUUAUUUUGUGUUGAUUAUAUACAUAUUCUUUUUAAAGGCUUUUAGAAACUCAAUGUACAACUUUUCACCAAAGCAUGACACUGGAGUCAUUCUCAUUUGCUUAAAUAGAACCUGCAAAGAUUUAAAUUCUUCCUUCAAACCUAUAUACACAUUCUUGAGUGAUGGAAAAGCCCUUGAUUGGCUACUGCAAGGUGUUCUGGAUUAAUGACCUAUCUCAUGUGUUUUAGUAAAUAUUCUAGGUCCGGACAGCACUUAGAUAUAAGUAUUGCCUGAAACAAAAAAUGUCAUCAGCAUCUUUGGAUAAUUAGGCUUUGACUGUUUUCUCAAGGGUGCAUGUUGUUUUAUAUAUGUGUGUUAGUCAUAGAUGUCAUAAUAUGGUAUCAAGAAUGCAAUCAAUUCUCAAAUUUGGUCCUGCCUGAUUCAAUAGGGGCUAGAGUGAGGAUAAAGUAACAUAGUUGUGAGAGCCCUUUGCAAAAGUGG